AUGACAACCACAUCCGUUGUUGCGAGGACUACGUCAUCUCCACCAUGUGACACAUCACCAUCGAGGGUGCCUGCAUCAUCUGAGUUGAUCAUAAGAGGUAAUGACAAAGGUACACAUUUUCCACUUUCACAUGAGAAUGAUGCAUGCCUAGUUAACUUGAAUACAUCAUGCGUUGAGUUAUCUGUUGAUUUGAGCACGCCACCUAGUUUAGAGAAUCAUGUUACUAUCAUGAAUGCAUCAUGUGAUCAAACAACUGAAAUACCAACAAUUUUGAGUGCGCCCAUUGAAUUAACUGUUGAUGUCAAAGAACCAUGUGAAUCAGGAAAUAAAUCAGAUUUGGAUCAAAUACAUUUUAAAAUAAUUGUGUCAAUGUUUAAUCAUUUUGAUAUGACCUCUAAUCUUGGUGAUCAUUCUGUGUCAAAUGAAUUAUUGCAUGUUUUCUUAUUUAAGCAUGUUGUAGCAUGUAAAUUUGAUGCACGUAAGGUUUAUUCACCAAUGUUGGGAUGGUUUAAUGAUGAAUAUUGUCAAUCUUUUGAUAUGAAUAAGAGCUUCACUUAUAUGUGCAAACCGAGGUGCAAUAUUUUCAUGCAUUCUACUUAUGAUAAUAUUUUGGCUUUAUAUUUUAUAAUCUAUGAAGGUUCCUCAUAUAUACAUGUGUCAUAUGCGCAAAAAUCAAGGGAAGUAAAAAUGGAUGACAUAUACAUAUACAACAUGUACACCUUGUCUGUUUUGUUAGCCACAUUUCAGAUUAAGCAACGCCGAGGACGACUUUGUUUUCAAGAAGGGGAGGAUGAUGAGGACAUGACUACCUUGGAUAAGACCAAAAAUAUUGCAUACAUGCAUAUUUGUCAGAUGAUUUCUAGUGCAAACUAUUCAAUAAUCUAUUUAUGUUAUCUAGAACAAAAAUACUUCACACACUUUUGUGUUUUGUCUAAUUGCAGGUGUAUGGGACAUUUGUACAAUCCACAUAUGAAGAUAAGGGAAAAGUAG
rnacentral:rRNA from 1 species